GUCCACGCCUAACGAUGUCAACUGGUUGUUGGAGGGUUUCUUCUCAGUAACGAAGCUAACGCGUGAAGUUGACCGCCUGGGAGUACGGCCGCAAGGUUGAAACUCAAAGGAAUUGACGGGACCCGCACAAGCGGUGGAUGAUGUGGUUUAAUUCGAUGCAACGCGAAACCUUACCUACCCUUGACAUGUCUGGAAUCCUGCAGAGAUGUGGGAGUGCUUGAAAGAGAACCAGAACACAGGUGCUGCAUGGCCGUCGU
rnacentral:rRNA from 1 species